rnacentral:lncRNA from 1 species
UAUUCCUUUGAAUGUCAAAUGUGCUUUAUUAGUAUAUGUUGAUGUGUGAAUCUUAUUCCACUUCUGAAGACAAGAGGAGAAAAGUGUCAUUUGCAUAAAAUUUAGACUUGUGAAUCUUAAAGCAUGGUUAAAAAAUAAAAUCAUAUGUCUUUUUUUUUUUUUUUUAGACGGAGUUUCACUCUUGUUACCCAGGCUGGAGUGCAAUGGCACAAUCUCGGCUCACCGCAACCUCCGCCUCCUGGGUUCAGGCAAUUCCCCUGCCUCAGUCUCCCGAGUAGCUGGGAUUACAGGCACGCGCCACUGUGCCCAGCUAAUUUUUUUGUAUUUUUAGUAGAGACGGGGUUUCACCAUGUUGACCAGGAUGGUCUCGAUCUGUUGACCUCGUGAUUCACCCACCUCAGCCUCCCAAAGUGCUGGGAUUACAGGCAUGAGCCACCGCACCCGGCCAAAAUCAUAUUUGUAGAAUGACAGAGAAUAUUGAGUGUUUCAAAAAUACAAUUAUGUGUGAUGUAAUAGAAAGUACUUUUGAAAACAAGUCAGGAUAUCUGAAUGCUGGCUUAAACUCUCACUAUUUCUGGGAUAUUGGCAUGGAUACAAUCUACUGUAGAAUUUCAGAUGAUGGUCCGGGAGCUUUACGGGUAAGAAGAAUUUUUUUCUUGACCUUUACAACAUUAUUAUUCAUAGGAUUGUGUAAUGACAGGGGAAAAGAUACAUAAAAGAUGCCUAUUUGUGUGAACUAAAUUAUUUUAUGGUCAGUGGUAAUUACGAGGCAAAUCUUCUUCUCACCCAUAUGAA